rnacentral:lncRNA from 1 species
UAAUAAGUGAGACCAACGUUGUAAGGUGUUAACUCGGAGCCAUCAUCUAUCCUUGUGGAGAACAACACAGAGGACUUGGAUUAGGACCUGAUAGUCUACCUUGGCGGCACGUGAGAAUCACCUGGGGAGCUUGUGAAACAUGAGGCUGCCAGGCUGGACCUCACUCCAGACCAAUCGAAUCAGAAUCUUUGGGGUGGGGCCUGGGUGUUGGUAAUUAUCCUUUGAAACACUCCCCAGGUGAUUCUAAUGGAAUCUAGGGGCGAGAAUCACUGGGGUAAGGCAUUUGUAGAUGGGGAGAUUGGUGGCAUCUGCCAGAAGACUUGAUGUAUACUUGGCCAGAGAUAAACCACAAGUCUGGCCUGAAUGUGGAAAUGCGUCAGUCAUCUUUUCAGAUUUCCAAGGUCAUGUGAGCUUGGACUGAAGAUAGCCCAGCACAGGGCCAGCGAUGGCAGCUGGAAGGGUGGCUGCCUGGGAAGGAGGAUGCCUGUGGGGAAAUGGGAGCAGCAGCAAGAGAACCUGGCAGACAAGCACAUGGAAGAUGUCCAUGCAGCGCCCCUCUUCUUUCUCUGUGAUACAGUGCAGCUUGGAGGACGACGGUCUGGUUUCAGCAUCAGGUAGACGUGUGUUCAAAUGCUGGUUUUGCCACUUUGAAGCUGUUACCUUGGACAUGUUUCAUGUUGCUGAAACUCUG